CCCCCGGGAGUUGUAGUUUUAAAGACUCGGAACCAAAUUUCGUGUUAAAUAGUGCAUAAAAACCGAAAGAACUGCGGAUGCUGUAAAUCAGGAACAAAAGCAGACGUUGCUGGAGAAGCUCAGCAGGUCUGAAGGAAAAAAAUCAGAGUUAAUGUUUCGGGUCCGGUGACCCUUCCUCUUAACUGAUGAUUUUCAGCAUAUCGCUUUAUUUUUAUCUGCAAUAAAAUCAACUACCUCACAGUUACCAUGGGAGCAACAUGUCGGCCUAUUCAGAUGGAUGUUGACUGAAGUGUCUUUACGCUGUUCAAAGAGCAGGAAGUGAGGCUCCCAGUGACUCAGCCAACAUUUUCCUUAAACUGUAUACCAAUAAAAUGCUAAUUAACUGUU